rnacentral:misc_RNA from 1 species
UGAUAGACUGUUAUAAUUAUGUUUGAUACAUUCCAGCAAAGAAUCUGUUGAAACACUGGAUACAGUAUUUUUUGUUGAUGAUGAUCUAGCUGCUAAUAUAUUCAUUUCAGCUUCUGUUUGAGAUUUAUGAUGACUAAUUUUUUUCCUUUUUUUUGAGCCAACUAUGUAGUUAGUACUGUCAUUAAUUCGUUUUUUUUAGUUUCAUUAUUUAUUUUCGUAGGUUUACAUAACAAUGACGGUGGUGAUGAAGAUAUCGAAGACACUAUUGAUGUAGAUGACCAUUCGAGACUAUGUUUUUAGGCUUGUUUCUUCA